UACGGAAGGCAGCAGGUGGGGAAUAUUGCACAAUGGGCGCAAGCCUGAUGCAGCCAUGCCGCGUGUAUGAAGAAGGCCUUCGGGUUGUAAAGUACUUUCAGUACGUAGAGGAAGGUGUUAAGGUUAAUAACCUUAGCAAUUGACGUUAGCGACAGAAGAAGCACCGGCUAACUCCGUGCCAGCAGCCGCGGUAAUACGGAGGGUGCGAGCGUUAAUCGGAAUUACUGGGCGUAAAGGGCACGCAGGCGGUUAAUUAAGUUGGAUGUGAAAUCCCCGGGCUUAACCUGGGAAUGGCAUUCAAGACUGGUUAGCUAGAGUCUUGUAGAGGGGGUAGAAUUCCAUGUGUAGCGGUGAAAUGCGUAGAGAUGUGGAGGAAUACCGGUGGCGAAAGGCGGCCCCCUGGACAAAGGACUGACGCUCGAUGUGCGAAAGCGUGGGGAGCAAACAGGAUUAGAUA
rnacentral:rRNA from 1 species